rnacentral:rRNA from 1 species
UCCUACGGGAGGCUGCAGUGAGGAAUAUUGGUCAAUGGACGCAAGCCUGAACCAGCCAAGCAGCGUGAAGGAAGACGGCUCUAUGAGUUGUAAACUGCUUUUAUACGAGAAUAAACUGCAGUACGUAUACUGUACUGAAAGUAUCAUAUGAAUAAGGAUCGGCUAACUCCGUGCCAGCAGCCGCGGUAAUACGGAGGAUCCAAGCGUUAUCCGGAUUUAUUGGGUUUAAAGGGUGCGUAGGCGGUUUGAUAAGUUAGAGGUGAAAUCCCGGGGCUUAACUCCGGCACUGCCUCUGAUACUGUUGGACUAGAGAGUAGUUGCGGUAGGCGGAAUGUAUGGUGUAGCGGUGAAAUGCUUAGAGAUCAUACAGAACACCGAUUGCGAAGGCAGCUUACCAAACUAUAUCUGACGUUGAGGCACGAAAGCGUGGGGAGCAAA